AUUGAACGCUGGCGGCAGGCCUAACACAUGCAAGUCGAACGAGUGGCGGACGGGUGAGUAAUGUCUGGGAAACUGCCCGAUGGAGGGGGAUAACUACUGGAAACGGUAGCUAAUACCGCAUACCAUCGGAUGUGCCCAGAUGGGAUGAGCUUGUAGGUGAGGUAACGGCUCACCUAGGCGACGAUCCCUAGCUGGUCUGAGAGGAUGACGAGCGAUAAGGGGAAUGAGACACGGGACAGACGCGUACGGGAGGCAGAAGUGGGGAAUAUGGCAUAAUGGGAGAAAGCCGUAGGCAGUGAUGCGGCGUGGAUGAAGAAGGCCUUCGGGAUGUAAAGUACUUUCAGCAGGGAGGCGUUACCCGUAGAAGAAGCACCGGAGAACUCCGUGACAGCAGCCGCGGUAAUUC
rnacentral:rRNA from 1 species